ensembl:miRNA aca-mir-107 aca-mir-107
CUUCUCUUUGCUUUCAGCUUCUUUACAGUGUUGCCUUGUGGCAUGGAGUUCAAGCAGCAUUGUACAGGGCUAUCAAAGCGCAGAGAGUCGA